AUGACUAAGAGAACCAAGAAGGCCGAUAUUGUUGGCAAAUACGGCACCCGAUAUGGUGCUAGUUUGAGGAAGCAAAUUAAGAAGAUGGAAGUCAGUCAGCAUAGUAAAUUCUUCUGCGAGUUUUGUGGAAAGUAUGUUGUUAAGAGAAAGGUUGUUGGUAUUUGGGGCUGCAAAGAUUGUGGGAAGGUUAAGGCUGGUGGUGCUUACACUGUGAAGUAA